UCCCUUUUCCAUACUCCCUCACUACCGUGCCCUACAUCUCAUCACAGCCUUCACUACUUACGCCACCACUUCCUCACCGUCGACGCUCGAUCGCCACUUGAUCUUUCCACUCUUGGUCGCGGACACUAGAUGCUCAUCAGAAGCUGAGCAUCCAAGUCCUCCAUUCUUCCGUGCCCUACUCAUCUACCGUUGUUUCUCCUUGCCGUUGGUUGAAUCGCCAUAGCAUCUUCACUGCCGCUCCAUCAUCAGGUCGCUGUGAGCACAGGCGCUGUCGCCCUUCAUCGGUGCCAAGUCCAAACCGGCGUCGUUCCUCCUCUGUCCAGGCUCUGCAUUACGGUAGCUAUUAUCAAUCCUUCCUUCAUUUCUGAUCUCGGUGACCAUUAUUAUUGUCGAAGUGGUACUUUAGCUACAUCCACCAACGAGCAGUUGUGGCCAACAUUGUAACCGACCGAGCUCUCCCUCUUCCUCUUCUCGAACCAUCACCAUCUCACCCUCUUGUUGCUAUGCCCUGAAGUCCCUACAAUACUCUCUCCAUAUUCAAAGAGGGACGAGCAUCAGAGACAUCCUCUCUUCGGAUUUGGAGAGCAGAACUCUAUUUCCAUUAUAGCAGCAUUUAGAUUCCAUCCUAGAGGAAUUUCGAAUAUGAUUCGUGGUUAGCAAGGGAAGGAAGUAGCGGAUAGUAGAAGAUCAUCGUCUUUAGUUGUAAGCCACUUCCAAUGCCACCUGGUUGCCAAAUUUAGGGACCUUGAUUUACGACGAGCCGCUUGAAGUGGAGAUAGGUUAGAACGAUCAAUAGCUAAAGGCGGGUACCUUUGACUUAUCUUCUUUUGAUAUGAUCAUUAUGAUAUGCAUAGUAUGUUAUAGCUAGUAGUAAUUGUUAUAUUUUAUAUCUGUCUUCGUGUGUCACUACUUGAUACCUGUAGUAUGUCUUCAUUUUUAUCUAUUACGCAUUUAGGUCUAUAUCAUCUUGAUUCUUUCCCUGUGUAUUUAUGUUCAUAGAAGUAGUGUCAUACAAUGUAUUACUGGGUAUAGGACUAGCUACUAGUUAUACCUGGCAUAUGUACCUAGACAUUAUGAUAUCUAGUUUAUUGUUAUGGAGUCAUUAUUCCUUUUGGUACAUAUAAGAUGGAGGCGCAUAUUGUCAGGUGUUACAUGCUUAGUGUCAUGCACCAUCUUACAUGAUUGCAUGUUGUGCGAUUGUCGGCUCCUUUGUAGUUGAGCACAUCGCCAGUUACAUGAUCUGUACACACAACCACUCAUGGGUUAGUGAUAUAUCAAGCAGGGUGUGUGUAGUUGCUUUGUCAGGGCUCUGCUCGGCCGCUCAUGGGUAGUGGUGAUGCAGCGUGGUAGCGGAUAGGGAUCCCUCCUCUUGACUAUGACACAGGGAGAUGAGAGCUUCGGGUCCCCCAUUUAGUUGGGGUAUGAGGAUAGGUGUACUCCAACAGCAUCCUAUCCACUUGGCCACUCAGGAGUAGUGAUGACAAAGUGCAUAGUUGUCAUAACCCUACCCAUUCGACCUCAUGAUCGCGAUGACAGUGGUUGACUGACGUCAGGGGUGAUCAUGUCAUUUGCACCAUAUGCAUGGAUUUUAUUUAUUUGUGUGUGAUUGCUGCACUUUGGAUGGUGCAUUUUGGCGGCUGCAUAUGAUUGACAUGCAUACAAGAGACAUUAUGUAGAUGGCCUGACGAUCCUACAUCUAUUUGUAUGGUUCACACCCUUAUGUCAGGAUAGGAGGUCAUGGUGAGUACAGUUCUUUCGUUGUUCAGUUUGCUUUACCUAUUAUUGCUCAGGAGACUAUACUACAUGAUUAUUACUGAUAGUUAUAUUACUAUGCAUGUCUACUUGUUACCCGCUGAGUUCAUUGAACUCACUCUGUGGAUUUAUUCCUA